CAGAUUACCUUGUUACGACUUCACACCAUCUGAUGAACCCAGAUGAGAUUAGCUAGUAGGUGGGGUAAUGGCUCUCCUAGGCUACGAUCUCUAGCUGGUCUGAGAGGAUGACCAGCCACACUGGAACUGAGACACGGUCCAGACUCCUACGGGAGGCAGCAGUGGGGAAUAUUGCACAAUGGGGGAAACCCUGAUGCAGCUAUGCCGCGUGUGUGAAGAAGGCCUUCGGGUUGUAAAGCACUUUCAGCGGGGGAAGAAAGCAAAGGCGUUAAUAUCGCCAUUGAUUGACGAUACCCGCAGAAGAAGCACCGGCUAACUCCGUGCCAGCAGCCGCGGUAAUACGGAGGGUGCAAGCGUUAAUCGGAAUUACUGGGCGUAAAGCGUACGCAGGCGGUCUGUUAAGUCAGAUGUGAAAUCCCCGGGCUCAACCUGGGAACUGCAUUUGAAACUGGCAGGCUAGAGUCUCGUAGAGGGGGGUAGAAUUCCAGGUGUAGCGGUGAAAUGCGUAGAUAUCUGGAGGAAUACCGGUGGCGAAGGCGUCCCCCUGGACGAAGACUGACGCUCAGGUACGAAAGCGUGGGGAGCAAACAGGAUUAGAUACCCUGGUAGUCCAUGCUGUAAACGAUGUCGAUUUGAAGGUUGUGGUCUUGAGCCGUGGCUUUCGGAGCUAACGCGUUAAAUCGACCGCCUGGGGAGUACGGCCGCAAGGUUAAAACUCAAAUGAAUUGACGGGGGCCCGCACAAGCGGUGGAGCAUGUGGUUUAAUUCGAUGCAACGCGAAGAACCUUACCUACUCUUGACAUCCAGAGAACUUGGCAGAGAUGCCUUGGAACCUUCGGGAACCCUGAGACAGGUGCUGCAUGGCUGUCGUCAGCUCGUGUUGUGA
rnacentral:rRNA from 1 species